rnacentral:tRNA from 1 species
AUUCUUAUAGCUUAUUUAAGAGCAUAGUAUUGAAGAUACUGAGGAGAUUUAUUAAUCUUUGAAUA